UUUUUAAGGGGGCCAGCUUACGGGCCAGGCCUCUCUCUGACCUGAUAACAAGUAUCGCCUCCCCGCCCAGCUCUAUCAGCGGGCCCUUUCUUUUGCAAUACUUAAAAGAGUCUCUCAUGGCCCAAUUAUUAUUACAGCGUUCUCUACCAUAGAAUUCGGACUUCCGGGUAAACCCGGCGGCUUCUAUGAAGAAGGCGGCGCAAAGGAGGCUCGAGGGCUUGUUAAGGAAGGCGGCAAGGGCCGACGAAGGGUGGAAAACGAAAGGCGUUUUCUGGUCCCCCCUGAGCCGGGGGGUGCUUGUGGGGGG
rnacentral:lncRNA from 1 species